rnacentral:tRNA from 1 species
UCCCUGGUGGCUCAGAGGGUAAAGUGUCUGCCUGCAAUGCAGGAGAUCCAGGUUUGAUACCUGGGUCGGGAA